rnacentral:ncRNA from 1 species
CAUUUCUUAGGAAAAAAGAUAAGCUUCCUAGCACUCGUCGAGUGCGACGUCACCUUCCUAUUUUUCUACAGAAAUG